CCCCAUUAUUCCCCAUUCUCCAUUAUUCCCCAUUCCCCAUUCCCAUUCCCCAUUAUUCCCCAUUAUUCCCCAUUCCUGGCUCCACCUGUGGUUCCUGGGGAAGCUCUGGAGCCACCCAGGGGCACAAGGGACAGAGCCCAGCGCCCCCCAGCAGGACAGGGACCCGCUCCCUCCCUCGCCCGGGGGACAUCCCGCGAUUCAGGGCCAUUUCUGAGGCCAUCGGGGUCCCUGAGGGGCAGCUGAUCCCGGGGCUGGGGCCGGGAGGAGCCCUCGGUGCCCGAGCUCAGAGCUCCGGGAGGCUCCAGGUGAAGGUGCCACGGUCUGGGCAGCGGGGACAAGCCUGGGAGCAGCACGGGGACAGCACGGGGACAGCACGGAGUGUCAGGGGGACAGCAGGGAGUGUCACCAGUGUCACAGCCCCUGCCCGGGACAGCACAGAGUGUCACCAGUGUCACAGCCCCUGCCCAGGGACAGCAGGGAGUGUCACCAGUGUCACAGCCCCUGCCUGGGACAGCACAGAGUGUCACUGGAGUGUCACAGCCCCUGCCCAGGGACAGCACAGAGUGUCACCAGUGUCACAGCCCCUGCCCGGGACAGCAGGGAGUGUCACAGCCCCUGCUCAGGGACAGCAGGGGUACAGUGUCACAGCCCUGCCCGGGACAGCACAGAGUGUCACUGGAGCCGAGGGACAGCAGGGUGUACCAGCCCCCCCGUGUCACCAGUGUCACAGCCCCUGCCCAGGGACAGCAGGGAGUGUCACCAGUGUCACAGCCCCUGCCCGGGACAGCACAGAGUGUCACUGGAGUGUCACAGCCCCCGCCAAACAGCCCAGUGUCCCAGCCCCUGCCCAGGGACAGCAGGGAGUGUCACCAGUGUCACAGCCCCUGCCUGGGACAGCAGGCAGUGUCACUGGAGUGUCCCAGCCCCUGCCCAGGGACAGCAGGCAGUGUCACUGGAGUGUCACAGCCCCUGCCCGGGACAGCAGGCAGUGUCACCGGAGUGUCACAGCCCCUGCCAGGGACAGCAGGCAGUGUCACCGGAGUGUCACAGCCCCUGCCCAGGGACAGCAGGGAGUGUCACCAGUGUCACAGCCCCUGCCCAGGGACAGCAGGCAGUGUCACCGGAGUGUCACAGCCCCUGCCCAGGGACAGCAGGCAGUGUCACCAGUGUCACAGCCCCUGCCUGGGACAGCACACAGUGUCACCAGUGUCACAGCCCCUGCCCGGGGCCAGGGCCAGCACUGGGGCUCCCCAGAUUUAGUGUUUGCCACAGGGACCCUGAACCCGCCCUCCCCGGGGGCUCCAUCGGGGGAAAGCGCCAGAGCCGCCCUUAAACCAAACCGAACCAAACCGAACCAAACCAAACCAAACCAGAACCGGAACCGGAAGAACAGAACCCAGACAGGAGAGGGGAGGACCCAGGCCCCGUGGAACAGACCCCAGACAGGACAGGGAAGGUUCCGGAACCCCUCAGCACAGACCCCAGACAGGACAGGGAAGGUCCCGGGCCCCGCGGUCGGGGCCGGCCGUGCUCAGUCCGUGCGGCUGCCCCCGGCCCGGGGCCAUCAUCUGCCGGCAGAGUGCGACUGUGGGGCCAUGAUGACGGGCGAGGCCGCGGGCACGGCCAGCUCUGUCCUUUGCCCGGCCAUGUGGGCCAGCACCGAGCUGGCCACGGCCUCGGCGGCCGCGCGGAGCCCGUUGGGAGCGGCCGAGGCCGAGCUGUGCUGGAUGACGGGCGCGGGCGAGCCCGAGGGCUCCGAGCUCUCCUUGGGGCUCUCUGCGGGACAGGAGCGCGAGAGGAGCGGGUCAGGGACGGCCGGGGCAGCGCCGGGGCACAGGGAUGGGCUGGGGGGAAUGGGGCUGGUUUGGGAAUGGGGCUGGUUUGGGGUUGGGAAUGUCGCUGGUUUGGGAAUGGGAAUGGGGCUGGUUUGGGAAUGGGGCUGGUUUGGGAAUGGGGCUGGUUUGGGAAUGGGAAUGGGAAUGGGGCUGGUUUGGGAAUGGGAAUGGGGCUGGUUUGGGAAUGGGGCUGGUUUGGGGUUGGGAAUGGGGCUGGUUUGGGUUUGGGAAUGGGGCUGGUUUGGGAAUGGGAAUGGGGCUGGUUUGGAAAUGGGUUUGGGUUUGGGUUUGGGAAUGGGGCUGGUUUGGGUUUGGGAAUGGGAAUGGGGCUGGUUUGGAAAUGGGUUUGGGUUUGGGUUUGGGUUUGGGAAUGGGGCUGGCCCAGAGGGGGAUCAGGGACCAGCAGGAAGGGGCCGGACACUCCGGGCCCCUCCCUCGGGGCAGGACUGGGCCAGGACCGGAGCUGGGACACGGGGACGCUCCUCCCAAGCAGAAUCAGGCUGGAUCUCCUGAACUGCGGGCAGGAAGCAGCGCAGCUUCCCGAGGAGGGCAGCACCGGCACAGCCUGCCUCCACCGCUCGCUCCCAGCCCAUCCCUUCCUCGCUAACAGGAAUUCAUUUCCCCCCAGGCUCUGCAGCCGAGGCUGAGCAGCCCCUUCCCCACCCGCCAGGGGCAGCAGGAUGCCCCCGCAGGCCCAGGAGCUCGGCUUUUGGGGGUGCUUUUCACCUAAA
rnacentral:lncRNA from 14 species